GACGAACGCUGGCGGCGUGCUUAACACAUGCAAGUCGAACGGAAAGGCCCUGCUUUUGUGGGGUGCUCGAGUGGCGAACGGGUGAGUAACACGUGAGUAACCUGCCCUUGACUUUGGGAUAACUUAAGGAAACUGGGGCUACUACCGGAUAGGAGCUCCUGCUGCAUGGUGGGGGUUGGAAAGUUUCGGCGGUUGGGGAUGGACUCGCGGCUUAUCAGCUUGUUGGUGGGGUAGUGGCUUACCAAGGCUUUGACGGGUAGCCGGCCUGAGAGGGUGACCGGCCACAUUGGUACUGAGGUACGGCCCAGACUCCUACGUGAGGCAGCAGUGGGGAAUAUUGCACAAUGGGCGGAAGCCUGAUGCAGCAACGCCGCGUGCGGGAUGACGGCCUUCGGGUUGUAAACCGCUUUCGCCUGUGACGAAGCGUGAGUGACGGUAAUGGGUAAAGAAGCACCGGCUAACUACGUG
rnacentral:rRNA from 1 species